rnacentral:rRNA from 1 species
GUGGGGAAUAUUGCACAAUGGAGGGAACUCUGAUGCAGCGACGCCGCGUGAACGAAGAAGGCUUUCGAGUCGUAAAGUUCUUUUAUAUGGGAAGAUAAUGACGGUACCAUAAGAAAAAGCCCCGGCUAACUACGUGCCAGCAGCCGCGGUAAUACGUAGGGGGCUAGCGUUGUCCGGAAUCACUGGGCGUAAAGGGUUCGCAGGCGGAAAUGCAAGUCAGGUGUAAAAGGCAGUAGCUUAACUACUGUAAGCAUUUGAAACUGCAUAUCUUGAGAAGAGUAGAGGUAAGUGGAAUUUUUAGUGUAGCGGUGAAAUGCGUAGAUAUUAAAAAGAAUACCGGUGGCGAAGGCGACUUACUGGGCUCAUUCUGACGCUGAGGAACGAAAGCGUGGGUAGCAAACAGGA